rnacentral:misc_RNA from 1 species
GAUGAAGAACGUAGCGAAAUGCGAUACUUGGUGUGAAUUGCAGAAUCCCGUGAACCAUCGAGUCUUUGAACGCAAGUUGCGCCCGAAGCCAUUAGGCCGAGGGCACGCCUGCCUGGGCGUCACACGUCGUUGCCCCCCCAUCUACUCCUUCGGGAUUGCGGGGGGCGGAUGAUGGCCUCCCGUGCGCCUUGCCGCGCGGUUGGCAUAAAUGCCAAGUCCUCGGCGACGCACGCCACGACAAUCGGUGGUUGCGAAACCUCGGUUGCCCGUCGUGUGCGGUCGUCGCGCAUCGAGGGCUCGAAAAAAUUGCCGGGUUCCGGCUCGGCUUUCAACGCGACCCCAGGUCAGGCGGGGUUACCCGCUGAAUUUAAGCAUAUCAAUAGCGGAGGA